AAGACCUCACGGGGCCUCCUUGCUCUCUGCUUAUCCUCCUUUCACCUCCUCUCCCUUCCUCACCACUGAUCCCAGCCACCUUGGGCGGCUGGGGAGCGAGGCUGACCGCUAAGUGGACCUGACCUUCAGAAUGAGGGCUUUCUGAGGCAAGGGCAGGGAGGGGUGUGGCUCGUGGAAGACAGAGAGAAGGGUUGGGGUAGGGACCCAGGGAUAGAUCUCUAGAAGGGUCUGGAUUCCCUAGGGGCCUGCGAUGAAACUUGCACUCUGUGGAAUAGUUCCAGGGUUGAGGAGGUAUUUUUCCCUCUCCACCCUGGUCUUCUCCUGUAACGUGUGGCCGCCUUUUCCAGCACGGCCUCCUGCCUUCCUGGUGCACUUUUUGGAGAACGUGGUGGAAUCAGAGGUUUCUGGCUGACUCGGUGGGUGCUUUGAACCAGGAAAGGACAAGAAAGAGGAUGGGAAGGACUGAUCCACAUUCCCACCAGGAAGUUUAGCAGAACCCCCGCGUGCCACCUGGACCCCUUGGAAGGACCUGGCUCAGGCUGGACCACCUCUUGAGAGGCAGGAGCUCUGGAUUUGAUCAAGAAUUCUUUGCUGAGCAUGGUGCCUCAUGCCUAUAAUCCCAACACUUUGGGAGGCCAGUGUGGGAGGAUCUCUUGAGCCCAGGAGUUCAAGACUAGCCUGGGCAACACAGAGAGACCCCAUCUCUAAAAUAAUAAUAAUAAUAAAAUAAAAAAUUAGCAGGGCAUGGUGGCAUGUGCCUGUAGUCCCAGCUACCCAGGAGGCUGAGGCAAGAGGAUGGCUGGAGCCUGGGAUGUUGAGGCUGCAAUGAACUGUGAUUACCCCACUGCACUCCAGCCUGGGCAAAAGAGCGAGAGACCCUGUCUCAAAUAAUAAUAAUAAUAAUAAUCUUAUUUUGGAGAAUAAAGAGACCUCUGGAUUUGAGGUGCCAUUUGGGUAGAAAGAAAAGACGUUUACACCGAGAAAUAGUCUGUGUUGCCCUGAAGGAGCAGAGGGAUGCAUCGCUGGAGGUGACCUACAGUUGAAGAAGACUCAUUAUGACAGACCUUGUCCUUCUUCCUUGUGGAAAGUGUUUCCUCUGCUGCUACUGCUCAUGAGACUCUUCCCCCUCCCUGUCCCAGGGAACCAAAGGGCUUUCUACCACACCCUUUCUUGCCCCCCGCCUCCCAUGUCUGCUGUGCCUUUGUACUCAGCAAUUCUUGUUUGCUCCAUUAUCUUCCAGCCGGAUACAGAGUGAAUAGUUAACCACACUUAGGUCAAAUAGGAUCUAAAUUUUUGUUCCUGCUCCGUGUAAAGAGGCCAGUGUUUGUGUGUUGCAAGCAGCCUUGGAAUAGUAACUCUUCUCAUUUGUUUGGGAUCUGGCCACCAAGUUCCAGAAUGAUACACGGAUCAGUGCAGAAGUUCAUCAGGCUCUCGGACCUUAGGGCUGUUGGAGAAGGCUUCAGCAGCAGAACUGAUGGUGAAGGCUCGUGUUCUCCAUCCUCAACUUUCUUUGCUUCGAUCAUACACAAGAAUACAUUUGGAAGGGCAAAAAAUGAACACUGUCGUUCAUUGCAGCCGUGUUUUGUGACACAGAUGCACAGUCUGCUGUGAAGACCUUCUCUCAAGUGGCAUUUGGGAGUCCAUGCCAGAUCAUGGUGCUUCAUGAGAGACUGACAGCUAUCAGGGGUUGUGGCACUUAGUGAGGACUCUCCUCCCCCAGUGUGUGCUGAUGACACAUACACACCUGACAAUAGCUUGAGUCUUCUCUGUUCCUUUUACUCUGUAGCCAACAUACACAUGAUUUAAAACCCUUUCUAAAUAUCUAUCAUGGUUCAUCCUUGUCCAAAUGCAGAGUCAGAGCUAUUUGUACUUCAUUAUUAUUUCCAAGGCGAAUAGUUGGCUUUCUUUUUGCAAAAAUAAUUAAAGUUUUUGUAUGUUGCAGUUG
rnacentral:lncRNA from 1 species